GUAAUAGUUUCGAUGAUAGAACUACAGACUUUUACAGACAAUCCCCAAAGAUCUUCUGUAGAUUUAAUUUUAAGAUCUUUAAAAGCAGCCUGGGGGUUUGUAUAUUGAAAUCGAAACUCCGUAGGGCAUGCCCUUACAUUCUUCGCCAUACAGUUCAUAAAGUUUAUCCCUGCUCUUACGAAUACCUGGAGUCGCCCAAUCACUAAAUAAGAACUUGGUGUAAAUACUUUUUGUCUUUUGUGGAACAAUGUCAUUAAAUUGCGAUUUUAACAAGGUAAAAAACUCCGCAUAGAACUCAUUAGGGUCCCAAAUAUUAUUAAAGUUUUGAACACACAAUUUACUGGUCAAGGUAUUAUCCUUAUUUGAAUUUUUUGUACAGGUAUGUAGGCACAAAACGUUAUUGUUUGUCCACUGUGAUCAGAAGGCAAUUUAUUAACAAUUUCUUUAUGUAAGUAAUCACAAUUACAAAAAAUAUUAUCUAUACAAGUGGCAGAAGAAGCUGUCACUCUAGUUGGUUCCAUAAAAACAUUAGACAGAUUAAAUGAUUUAAAAAGACUUAUUAAUCUGAUACUAUUUGAGUUUGUUUCUAAUAAGUUAAUAUUAAAAUCACCACUUAUGAUUGAUUUACUACUAGUACUAAGUUUUUUUAACACAUCUUCCAUUACAGAAUCAAAUACAGAUAGAUUCUGAUAGCCCGGAGGUCUGUAAACACAUACUACAACAUGCUUAUCGAGCUCGACACAGGACAACUCUAUAGAAUGUUCAACUGACAAUCUGAUAAUGUCUUUCCUUUCUUUAGAUUUAACAGAAUUUUUGAUUAAUAUUAAUGAUCCACCAUGUAUCAUACACUUCCGGCUGAAAUAGCUAACUACACAAUAAUUUUCAUAAUUAAUAGACAUUAUCUGAUGAUCAUUUAACCAAUGUUCAGUUAAACAAAUAAUAUCGAACUUGGUUUUUUCUAAAAACAUUUCUAUUUCCAGUAAUUUGGAAGAGCAACCUUGAAUAUUCUGAUGAAAUAAUCUUAAAGUAUGUUGCUUUCCUUUUGGUUUAUUAAAACAUGUUAAAUUGC